rnacentral:lncRNA from 1 species
ACUGGCUUUCUAAUUGGCAUCCCUGUCUCCUCAAAUCUAACCUUGGUUACCGAGAGUAUUGUAUACUACAGCAAAUCUGAUCAAGUUCAUCACCUACCCCAACAUUCAGGGUAAAGGCCAAACUCCUAAGAAAGCCAUCCCUUCCUUUGUGUCUGGCCCUGCCUCUCCAGUCUUCUCUUCCAGUCUUCUCUUUUUUUAUACUGUGAUUGCCUAGUUAUUUGUUCAUUUCCCUGAUUAGUAUACAAGUCCCUUGAAGACACAGACCAUGGUUAUUUGUAUUUUGGUAUCCUCAGCAUGUAUCACAGUGCCAGGUUCAUAGUAGGUUUAAUUAUUAUUGUUAUUAUUAUUAUUUUUGAGACAGAGUUUUGCUUUUGUUACCCAGGCUGGAGGGCAAUGGUGUGAUCUUGGCUCGUCGCAACCUCUGCCUCCCGGGUUCAAGCGAUUCUCCUGCCUCAGCCUCCCAAGUAGCUGGGAUUACACUCAUGCACAACCAUGCCUGGCUAAUUUUGUAUUUUUAGUAGAGACGGGGUUUCUCCAUGUUGGUCAGGCUGGUCUCGAACUCCUGACCUCAGGUGAUCUGCCUGCCUCGGCCUCCCAGAGUGCUGGGAUUACAGGUGUGAGCCACUGCGACCAGCCUAAUUAUUAUUGUGAAUGCAGGAACUGACAAGGCCCUAUGACCUGGGGUGAAAAGAAGGGAUUAAGCUCUGGCCUGUAGAGAUUCUCUGGCUCUCUUCCUUUCUUUUCAUAAGCCAGACUGACUCUUUGGUUGAUCCAGCCCUGAAAUUGAUGGCAGUAAGUCAGGUGGAUCUGAAGGCAGAACCUAGCCACCAAGGACAGUGGCAGGGGUGAAGAAGCCACUGAGCUCGGACCAUCUUGGGAGUUGAGGUGGAGGUGAAAGCAAUGGACAUAACUGGUACUACCCAGUGCCCCCGAUCCCCAAACCAGGAGAGUUUGAGAAGGGAUAGGAAAGCCUGAGUCAAUGAGGUUCCAAGGAAGAGACUGGUGACAGGGGCUAGUGGAAAUUGUGGGUUGAGGUCAAAGGUCUGGAAGAUCGAUCCCUACGUUGAAUAUGGCCAUCCAGGCUGGGCACUGUGGCUCACGCCUAUAAUCCCAGCACUUUGGGAGGCUGAGGCAGGCAAAUAGAUUGAGCCCAGGAGUUCAAAACCAGCCUGGGCAACAUGGCAAAAUCCUGUCUCUACAAAAAAACAAAAAAAUUAGCCAGGUAUGGUGGCACACGCCUGUCGUCCCAGCUUCUCGGGAGGUUGAGGUGGGAGGAUUGCUUGAGCCCAGGAGGUCCAGGCUGCAGUGAGCUGUGAUCACACUACUGCACUCCAGUAAUAGAGUGAGACCCUGUCUAAAUAAAUAAAUAAAUAAAUAAAUAAUAAGGCCCUCCAGGGGCCAUGUUCUUCCUAACCUGUCCUUAGGAAGUGUUCACAUUGUGUAGAUGUAGCAGUUUGGUUCACACUGACCCGGGUAAUCAGGAAAAGAGGAGAGCCAGAAAGGGGGGAGGAAGGAGCUCUAGAUUCCCAGGUCUAUAAGGAGCCACCCUGGGCUGGAAUGCUUGGCAGCCUUACUGCCCCAGAAUGAAGGGGAAAAAGUCCUGAGUGGCUCCACUAUGCCACCUCAGUCUCUUCUUAGGCACAGGCUCCCCCUGGUGGUUACUCUUGUCACUGCCAACUCCACCCAUUGCCCUCAAACAUGCACACUUGCCCAUUUUUAACUAAGAACUGAGGAAGCCUCUGGAUGUAGUAAAUGGAGCUUCUCUUAGAGCAAGAGAGGAGAAGAGGGAAGGAGAGAUUCAAGGAACAGAAUUAUGGAGAAGGGAAAGGGCCCUGGACUUGUACUAGGAUGGUUAUCACCCAGAAGAAAGGGGACCUGGGCUGGCAGGAUUCUUCGUCUCCAGGAUUGGAAGUCUAUUCCAGCUACCAACCUGACUUAGAUAAUUUGGUCCAACUGGGGAGGAAGUUGAGGGCACACAGCAGAGUUUCCUGGGAGGGCAUAGCAAGUUCACAUUUUAUAUGAAUUUGAAGUACAGGAAGAUG